UGUAUGGCAAAUAUUUUUUUCCCUGUUCUGUAGAAAACUUCCAAGUUGGAUUUUUAAAUCUCUAAUUUCCUAGGUGAGAUGACCUUGGGUUUUGGUUCCUGUCUCAUGCUGAUUGUAUUAUUUGUUAGGAUGGUUUCCUCUUUCUAACAAGUUUAUUUGCAAUUUACAACAGGAGGAACAUUUGCAAAAAGAAGCCCAUGUUGCUUGUGGCCCCCAAAUUAUUCCCUUUCUAGA
rnacentral:lncRNA from 1 species